rfam:Thielavia terrestris NRRL 8126 chromosome 4, complete sequence.
GGGCGUGUGGCUCAGUUGGUAGAGCGUUCGCUUAGCAUCCUGUUCUGUCCGCGUCUCUGUGGAUGCCAGGGUCAGGAAUAGGUGUAUGCGAAAGGUCCUGGGUUCGAUUCCCAGCUCGUCCA